rnacentral:misc_RNA from 1 species
ACCUGUGGUUCAAAUGGCAG